CGAGAGGGGGCGAGCGUUAUUCGGAAUUAUUGGGCGUAAAGGGCGCGUAGGCGGCCUUUCAAGUGACGGGUGAAAUCCCUCGGCUUAACCGAGGAACUGCCUGUCAGACUGGAAGGCUUGAGACCGGGAGAGGUGAGUGGAAUUCCCAGUGUAGCGGUGAAAUGCGUAGAUAUUGGGAGGAACACCAGUGGCGAAGGCGGCUCACUGGACCGGUACUGACGCUGAGGCGCGAAAGCGUGGGGAGCAAACAGGAUUAGAUACCCUGGUAGUCCACGCCGUAAACGAUGAGUGCUUGGUGUAGCGGGAAUCGACCCCUGCUGUGCCGAAGUCAACACAUUAAGCACUCCGCCUGGGGAGUACGGUCGCAAGACUG
rnacentral:rRNA from 1 species